rnacentral:rRNA from 1 species
GGAAAGGCCCAGCUUGCUGGGUGCUCGAGUGGCGAACGGGUGAGUAACACGUGGGUGAUCUGCCCCUGACUUUGGGAUAAGCCUGGGAAACUGGGUCUAAUACCGGAUAUGACCUUACGUUGCAUGACGUUUGGUGGAAAGCCUUGUGCGGUUGGGGAUGGGCCCCCGGCCUAUCACCUUGUUGGUGGGGUAAUGGCCUACCAAGGCAACAACGGGUACCCAACCUGAAAGGGUGAUCGGCCACACUGGGACUGAAACACGGCCCAAACUCCUACGGAAGGCACCAUUGGGGAAUAUUGCACAAUGGGCGCAAGCCUGAUGCACCGACCCCCCGUGAGGAAUGACGGCCUUCGGGUUGUAAACCUCUUUCACCAGGGACAAACCUUUUGUGACGGUACCUGGAAAAAAACCACCGGCCAACUACUUGCCACCACCCGCGGUAUUACUUAGGGUGCAAGCGUUGUCCGGAAUUACUGGGCGUAAAAACCUCGUAGGCGGUUUGUCCCGUCUCCUGUGAAAUUCUGCACCUUACCUGCAGGCUUGCAGGCAAUACGGGCAAACUUGAUUACUACAGGGAAGACUGGAUUUCCUGGU